rnacentral:rRNA from 1 species
AUGGCUCAUGUGCAAGCUGAGAACGAGGUGAUGAGUGCUGAUGACAGGCUCCAAGCUCAGCUCGAGCUCUACCACCACUCCCUCGCCUUUGUCAAGUCCAUGGCCCUCAGGGCCGCCGCUGACCUGCGCAUCCCUGAGGCCAUCCACCGUCGUGGCGGCACCGCCACCUUGUCUGACAUUGCGUCUGACACCGGGAUUCACGCGACUAAGUUCGCGCACCUCCGGCGGCUCAUGCGCGUGCUAACCAUCACCGGCAUAUUCUCCAGCAGCAGCGAUGCCGUGUUCAAGCUAACCCCGGUGUCACGCCUCCUUGCCGAAGGCGGCCAAAGCUCGUGCAACCUGUCUCCGGUGGUUGUGGGUGUCUUUGUCAACCCGGUCGCUGUGACAGCCCUCCUCAGCAUACCCAAGUGGUUCACCGACGAGCGGGCAGCAGCGCUGUCGCUCUUCGAGGUGGCCCACGGCUGCACACGCUGGGAGAUGGCAGCAAAGGAGAAGGGCGACAGCAGCUUGUUGGAUGCCGGAAUGGUCGCGGAUAGCACCAUCAUCAUGGAGGUCCUUCUGAGGGACAGUCACAGCAUCUUCGAGGGGGUGAGCUCGCUGGUCGAUGUUGGCGGCGGACAUGGCGCGGUGGCUGCGGCCGUCGCGAGGGCGUUCCCGGAAGUCAACUGCACAGUUUUGGACCUCCCACACGUUGUAGCCGGGGCACCCGCCAAUGAAAGCAUCCAGUUUGUCGCUGGUGAUAUGUUCGAACACAUUCCAUCAGCAGACGUCGUUCUACUCAAGUGGAUUCUGCAUUGUUGGCAAGAUGAGCACUGCAUCAACAUACUGCGACGGUGCAAGGAAGCCAUCCCGUCAAGGGAUGCAGGCGGGAAGGUGAUAAUCAUCGAUAUGGUCGUCGGCUAUGCUGGUGCUGCGUCAGCGGAAAAUGUUUCAAUGGAGACGCAGGUUCUGUCAGAUGUUUACAAGAUGUACAUGGACGGGGUUGAGCGAGAGGAGGAUGAGUGGGCCAAGAUCUUCUCUGAAGCUGGGUUCAGUGACUAUAAGAUCUCGCCCGUGUUGGGGUUUCGAUCCAUCAUCGAGGUCUACCCUUGA